AUUCGAUGAUGACAAAUCCGGAGGCUUGUUUCUCUAAACAUUCUCAGUGACCGCCUGAGAGCUUUCGCCUUCGCCAGGCCUGAGGGCUUUCUCCUUCGCCAGGCCUGAGGGCUUUCUCCUUCGCCAGGCCUGAGGGCUUUCUCCUUCGCCAGGCCUGAGGGCUUCCUUGGAUGUCUGAGUCU
rnacentral:snoRNA from 1 species